rnacentral:rRNA from 1 species
UGGGGAAUUUUGGACAAUGGGCGAAAGCCUGAUCCAGCAAUGCCGCGUGUGUGAAGAAGGCCUUCGGGUUGUAAAGCACUUUUGUCCGGAAAGAAAUCCUUGGCUCUAAUACAGUCGGGGGAUGACGGUACCGGAAGAAUAAGCACCGGCUAACUACGUGCCAGCAGCCGCGGUAAUACGUAGGGUGCAAGCGUUAAUCGGAAUUACUGGGCGUAAAGCGUGCGCAGGCGGUUUGCUAAGACCGAUGUGAAAUCCCCGGGCUCAACCUGGGAACUGCAUUGGUGACUGGCAGGCUAGAGUAUGGCAGAGGGGGGUAGAAUUCCACGUNUGAGCAGUGAAAUGCGUAGAGAUGUGGAGGAAUACCGAUGGCGAAGGCAGCCCCCUGGGCAAAUACUGACGCUCAUGCACGAAAAGCGUGGGGGAGCAAACAGGAUUAGAUACCCUGGUAGUCCACGCCCUAAAACGAUGUCAACUAGUUGUUGGGGAUUCAUUUCCUUAGUAACGUAGCUAACGCGUGAAGUUGACCGCCUGGGGAGUACGGUCG